rnacentral:rRNA from 1 species
UACGGAGGGGGCUAGCGUUGUUCGGAAUUACUGGGCGUAAAGCGCACGUAGGCGGCUUUUUAAGUCAGAGGUGAAAGCCCGGGGCUCAACCCCGGAAUUGCCUUUGAGACUGGAUCGCUUGAACGUCGGAGAGGUGAGUGGAAUUCCGAGUGUAGAGGUGAAAUUCGUAGAUAUUCGGAAGAACACCAGUGGCGAAGGCGGCUCACUGGACCGUUGUUGACGCUGAGGUGCGAAAGCGUGGGGAGCAAACAGG